AGUGAACGCUGGCGGUAGGCCUAACACAUGCAAGUCGAACGGCAGCACAGUAAGAGCUUGCUCUUACGGGUGGCGAGUGGCGGACGGGUGAGGAAUACAUCGGAAUCUACUUUUUCGUGGGGGAUAACGUAGGGAAACUUACGCUAAUACCGCAUACGACCUACGGGUGAAAGCAGGUGAUCUUCGUACCUUGCGCGAUUGAAUGAGCCGCUGUCGGAUUAGCUAGUUGGCGGGGUAAAGGCCCACCAAGGCGACGAUCCGUAGCUGGUCUGAGAGGAUGAUCAGCCACACUGGAACUGAGAAACGGUCCAGACUCCUACGGGAGGCAGCAGUGGGGAAUAUUGGACAAUGGGCGCAAGCCUGAUCCAGCCAUACCGCGUGGGUGAAGAAGGCCUUCGGGUUGUAAAGCCCUUUUGUUGGGAAAGAAAAGCAGCAGGUUAAUACCCCGCUGUUCUGACGGUACCCAAAGAAUAAGCACCGGCUAACUUCGUG
rnacentral:rRNA from 1 species